rnacentral:rRNA from 1 species
GACGAACCGUGCGAACGUUGUUCGGAAUCACUGGGCUUAAAGGGUGCGUAGGCGGGUCAUCAAGUCCGGGGUGAAAGCCCCCAGCUUAACUGGGGAAGUGCCUUGGAUACUGAUGGUCUUGAGGGGGGUAGGGGCAGUGGGAACUUCCGGUGGAGCGGUGAAAUGCGUUGAUAUCGGAAGGAACGCCGGUGGCGAAAGCGCACUGCUGGACCUCUUCUGACGCUGAGGCACGAAAGCCAGGGGAGCAAACGGG